rnacentral:lncRNA from 1 species
CUCCACAGACUCCUCCAGCUCUUUCCUGUUGACAUGAUGUAUUUACUGAGAAGCUCUUCUCAUAGGGUGAACUGAAGCUGAGAAGGCAGUGUCGCACAGGCCUGAGUCUGGGAAGUGGACCCAGAGUUAACGAGCAAGAAGUCCACAGGUUAUAUUGAAUGGCUGCCCUCCUAUCUUGUCUGGAAGAGAUCCCCAGAGGACCCCAGCUCUCAGAGCCAGAAAUUGGUUUCUUCCUUCCAAGCAGACAUGACUCCCCAGACUCUGACCCUUGGGAUGUAUGCACAAAACAUUUCUUUCCAUUCCGUCACCCAGUGUACAUGACAGAUCUGAACCACAGAAAAUGUUCAAACCAUGGUUUUCAGAUCAGUCUGUCUCCUUCUACCCAUUUCUCCCUUCGCUGUCAUAUCUUGGUUAUCACUCCAAAUUCACUGAAGAUUUGUGGGAAGAGGAUAGUUUUAAUUAUUUGUACAACAUAUACAUAUUAUAUUUGUAUUUAAGAAAAAUAAAAGUUAAAAAAAUUAGCAUUUUACUCAUCAUCUUCCUCUCCAUAUCAAAUCAUGCUUUAUCCUGCAUAAAUUUGAUACCACACAUGCAGUCUACCAGUGCUGAACAUCUCUGUUUUCACCAGCAUAGCAUUCAUCCUCUCUCUUCUCUUAACAGCACCUUUUUUCCCUUUGAGGAACUACCUCUACCCCGUUUCAUGCAGUCUUGGUAG